rnacentral:rRNA from 1 species
UACAGAGGUCCCAAGCGUUGUUCGGAUUCAUUGGGCGUAAAGGGUGUGUAGGUGGCGCCGUAAGUCGGGUGUGAAAUUUCGGAGCUUAACUCCGAAACUGCAUUCGAUACUGCGGUGCUUGAGGACUGGAGAGGAGACUGGAAUUCAUGGUGUAGCAGUGAAAUGCGUAGAGAUCAUGAGGAAGACCAGUGGCGAAGACGGGUCUCUGGACAGUUCCUGACACUGAGACACGAAGGCCAGGGGAGCAAACGGG